AAAUUUCAAGCUUCGAUUUAGUCGAUUGCAUGUGAAUUUAGUCAAUAGGACUUAUGUGCGACAUUUUUGAAAUGUGAUAGGUCGAAGCAUAAGGACCUAUUAGAGCAUGAAAUAAAAAGGGGGGACUUGCAUGUCAAAUUCCCCCCCUAACUAGUAGUGGCCGGCCAUGACAAGCAUGGUAGACCAAGUGUGAUGGGAAGGACAUGUCAUAGACAUGUUGUGUUGGUGCAUCAUGGGUGGAAAAAAAUAAAAUAAGGAGCAUGGGCAUAAAAUAAUGAAAGGGAAUAUGAUGGAAACAAAAAAAAAAUGUGUGUGGUUGUCUCCCCCCCCCCAUUGCCGUGAGUUAAAGAAAAGAAAGGAGAAAAUUUUGUUCAUCCUUUUUCAUCUUCAUUUGGCCGAAAAUUCUAAGGAAGGAGGAAGGAGUUCUUGCUCCAUGUUUGAUUUGGAAGAGGAUUAGGAGGAGGUUUGGCCAUACUUAUAUCUAGAUUAAGGUAUGUUUGAGGUUGUGCCAUGAGAUUCAUGCAUGUUUUUAGUUGCUAGCUUGAGUUCUAAUUAGCCCAUGGUUCAAAUCUUUGCUAUGUCAUGGGGAUGAUAUUCGGCCUAGGUGGAUUUUGUGUUAAUGCCAUUGCAUGCUAAAUAUGAAGCUUGUUAAUGAUGCAUGUGAUGGUGGAUUGAUGAUUCUUGAAUCUCCUUUUUAGCAUUUUUGAGUGAGCACAUAUGUGCAUUGGUUGCUAGAUGGGGAAGAAUCGGCUAGCAAGUUGUGUGCUAAGGUCGAAUAUAACUUUUGUAUGUUAAUGAGCAAUGCAUGUGUUAAAUUGAUGGAAAGGGAGAGGAUGCUUUACUAGUGUAUAUAUGUGUGUAUUAGCCAAGUUUUGAACUUGAAAUAAAAGGGUGUUUAGUCAAUACAAGUGACCAUACUUGUAGAAUGUAUUAAGUGUUGAAAUCGGCCCCAACAUAGACAUGCAUAUUCAGCCAUAGGAAGGAGAUUGGUGUUGCAUGUAUUCGGUUAGAGGCAAGCAUAUUGAUGCUUUUGUCUUGGCUUAGAAAAUUCGACCAAGGGGGAAAAAUUAGCUAAAAUGUUGAGUUUGAUUCAUGAUUCCGUACAUAUGUGACUUUAAUGUCUAAUGUAUAAAAAUGGGCUAAGUGCCUUGUGUUCCUCUUUCCGAUGCUCAAAUGAUUAAAUCAAUUUAUUUGUUUAAUUAAGCUCAAGAGCAAAGGGGAACUAAAUCCGAUAAAGGGAAGGAAAAAGUGGUCGAAUAGCUAUCGGAAUCGUUCGACAACACCCGAGGUAAGUUCUUGAGUAAGAGAGCUUAAAUUAAGAUUUGAUUAGAUCAUGUUUUAAGCAAAUCAAAAUCAUGCUCUUUGUGUGUGGCUAUUGAGCCGAAAUUGCAAGAAUGAUAAGUGUCUUGUGUUUGAGUUUUGCUAACGAAAAUGAAAUACGAAUGUGCCAUGAUUUAUUGUUAAAUGUGCAUGGUUAUUUGAAUGAUGUCCGGGCUAAGUCCCGAAGGCUUUGUGCUAAGUGACCAUAUCCGGACUAAGAUCCGAAGGCAUUUGUGCGAGAUACUAAUUCUGGGCUAAGCCCGAAGGCAUUGGUGCGAGUUACUAAAUCCGGGUUAAGUCCCGAAGGCAUUUGUGCUAGUUACUAAAUCCGGGUUAAGUCCCGAAGGCAUUUGUGCGAGUUACUAUAACCGGGCUAUGUCCCGAAGGCAUUUGAACGAGGAGCUAUAUCCGGUUAAAUUCCGAAGGUACGUGACUUGGGAAUGAAUGAUUUUGCUGUAAAAAUUUCAGUUAAUACUCUAGAAACAUCCCAACAUUGAGGUAUGUUUCGUAUGUGCUUGAAUUUAGUUGAGCCCUUACAAAUAAGUAUCCGCUCAGUUGAUAAACGAGCUACCGGCCUUUGGCUAAGUUGAUCUUUUGUGUAUGUACAUAAGGGUUGGUAAUGUGAAGCAAGUAUGAUAUCGAAAAUUUGUGCAUAUGAAAUUAUCCGUUUAGCUAUAUGAAUGCUAUACUUUUGUUGUGCUGGAAUUCCUUGCUCAAAACUUACUAAGCAUAAAUUGCUUACUCCGUUUCAUUGCUCCUCUGUUUUAUAGAUUUUGGUUCUCCAGCUAUCGGACUCGGGAUCUGGAAGUCGAAGUCGCCCACACUAUCAAAGCCCCCUUUUGGUACAAUUUUGGUUGAACUUCGAAAUGGCAUGUAUAGGACUACCCGUUUGUUGUGGGUCAUGGACCCUUUGGACUUGUAUAAUUUUGGAUAGCCAUGCGAAAAUGGCUUAUAUAUGUUUGAGUGUAAUGUUAUAAUCAUUUGGUAUGGAUAUGGUUAUUGAGAGGUGUGGAUAGGCUUGACAAGGAUUGGCCAUGGGAAUGGUUAAUCACUAUCAUAAAUUGUGCUACUUAUGCAAAAAGGGCUAGUUGAAUCAUGGAAACUAUGAAAUAGGUAAAGUCUACCUUAAAGGCAGAUGCUGACAGCAGCAGUGAUGUAGAUUUGAAAAUUCACUAAAUAUAGUAGGAAUGGAAUUAAAUAGUGAAUAAAUUAUGUAAACGAACCUUGAUUAAUCUAUUUUCAUAGGAAAGUAACGAAACAAUCAUACGGACAGUAUGUUAAGAGAUAUUCAGGUUCUCGUAAGACAGGGCCAGAACGGUUUCUGGAUUUCCUGUUCCGACUUUGGAAAUUCAUUAUAAAUUAACCAGAGACAAUUAGGAGUCAAGCCAUAUAUGUAUAGAUUCCUCUCUGAGUAUAGUUUCUAUAUAAUCAAACAAAAUCAGUAUUGAAGCCCUGUACAGGGAGAUAUCCAAGUCGUAAUGCGCAAAGGUCAGGGUAGUCGAUCCCUGUAACAUGGGAGACUUUGACUAAUAAACUGUACUAAUUUGCCCAACCAAAAAUUCUAGAAAAAAAUAUGUAGAUGGACAUAUGAGUCUAGUUUCAUGGAAAAUUUAUGGAACUGGAUUCCAAGUUUCUGAACUCAAGAUAUGAUUUUUAAAGAAACUAUUACGCAGAUUGGCAGUGUCUGGAAAAUUUUUUAAAGUUUGUUAACACCUCGUGUUCGACUCCGGUGACGGUCUCGGGUUCGGGGUGUUACAUUUGAUUGGUAUCAGUGCUAUGGUUUAGUCGAUUCUAGGACUACCGUAAUGCGUUGGGUCUACCUAUACAUGCCAUUUUAUGUGAUUAUUUGAUAGUGUGGUGAUUUCUGACAUUUGCAAAUGUGUUUAUUUAUAGUAAUGGAUCCCGAUCCCGACCGAGCGGUAGCUGAUGAUCUUGAGAGUGUAGCACCUGCUCCCGCACAAGGGACAGUGCCGGUGAACUCUCAACCUAAUGCUAGUAACCCGAAUGAUGAAGCUAGACAAGCUUUCUAUAGCGUGAUGAAUGAUUGGUUCAACCAAUACAUUCGAACUAAUACGGCUGUUCCACAACCUCCCUUCCCGACUAAUACAACUCCCGCACCUACAAUACCUCCGGUAACUGACCAAAUAAGGUCAAAUAAGCCCCCAGUUGACAGAAUUUGAAAACAUGGGGCUACCGAAUUUAAAGCUACGGAUAGCGACGAUGCCGAACAAGCUGAAUUUUGGUUGGACAACACUAUCCGGGUACUCGAUGAACUAUCUUGUACACCCGAUGAAUGCUUAAAGUGUACUAUCUCCUUGCUACGUGAUUCUGCCUACUAUUGGUGGAGUACUCUGACUUCUGUCGUGCCCCGAGAGUAAGUAACUUGGGAGUUUUUCCAAACUGAGUUUCGGAAAAAUUAUAUCAGUCAGAGAUUUGUUGAUCAAAAACAGAAGGAAUUUCUUGAGCUUAAGCAAGGUUCCAUGUCGGUUACUGAUUAUGAGCGAAAAUUUGUUAGACUUAGUAGAUACGCUUGGGAAUGUGUUUCGUCCGAGGCUAUCAUGUGUAGACGCUUCGAGGAUGGGCUGAAUGAAGAUAUAAAAAUGUUCGUUGGCAUUCUUGAAAUACGAGAGUUCGUAGUACUUGUCGAGCGAGCUUGUAAAGUCGAAGAGCUUAGAAAAGAAAAACAAAAAGUUGAUGUGGGAACUGGAGAGUUUCGUAAAAGAUCUUCGGGAAAGUCUCUUCAACAGGCAUCGAAGAAAUUUCGAGAUGAUGUGGGCUGGUCGAGAGGCACUUCGGGCCUUUUUAGACGAGAUCAUGAUCGACCCCUUGUGGGUACACGAGGCACUUCGGUCGCCAGUGUUGGGAAUGAACGUCGAGACAGAACGAAAUGUCGAUAUUAUGGUAAAUGGCAUUCGGGGAGUUGUAGAUUCCCUGACCGCUCCUGUUACAAGUGCGGAUCAGUUGACCACUUCAUUAAAGAUUGCCCGAGGUUGUCUGAACAGAAUGUAAAUCAGAGUGGGAAACCGGGUGCUACCACUGCUCGAGGUAGACCAUCUGGAAAUAUGGGCAAUGCUGGUGGUGGUCAGAGAGGAUCUAGAGAUGCUACGACCAGAUCCGAGGCUCGUGCGCCUGCUAGAGCUUAUGCUAUACGUGCCCGCGAGGAUGCUUCUUCGCCUGAUGUUAUUACCGGUACUUUUACUCACUUUGAUACUAAUGUAAUUGCUUUGAUUGACCCCGGUUCUACUCAUUCUUACAUAUGUGAAACCUUAGCAUCCAGUAAGACUUUACCUAUUGAGUCUACUGAGUUCGUAAUUCGGGUGUCAAAUCCCUUGGGUCGUUACGUGCUUGUCGACAAAGUGUGUAAGAAAUGUCCCCUAGAAAUUCGAGGUUCCUGUUUUCCGGCGGACUUGAUGCUUUUGCCGUUUGAUGAAUUUGAUGUUAUUCUUGGUUUGGAUUGGUUGACCGCGCAUGAUGCGGUUGUGAAUUGCAAAAGCAAGACUAUUGAUUUGAGGUGCGCAAAUAACGAAGUAAUCCGAGUUGAGUCUACGGACUUGGAGGGGAUGCCAGCUGUAAUAUCAGCAAUGUUGGCCAAGAAAUAUGUAAGAAAAGGGUGCGAAGCAUACCUUGCGUAUGUACUUGAUGACAAAAAAUUAGAAAAGAAACCCGAAUCUGUGCCGGUGGUUUGUGAAUACCCGGAUGUUUUUCCUGAAGAAUUACCGGGUUUACCACCUGUUCGGGAGGUAGAGUUUGGUAUUGAGCUUGUACAUGGGACUACGCCGAUUUCGAUAGCUCCGUAUCGUAUGGCACCAACCGAGUUAAAAGAGUUGAAAGCUCAGUUGCAAGAAUUGACGGAUAGAGAUUUUGCUCGACCAAGUUUCUCACCUUGGGGUGCACCAGUAUUGUUCGUUAAAAAGAAGGACGGAACCAUGAGGUUGUGCAUUGACUAUCGUCAACUGAAUAAAGUGACGAUAAAGAACAAAUAUCCGUUACCGCGUAUCGAUGAUUUGUUCGACCAACUAAAGGGAGCCUCAGUGUUCUCAAAAAUAGAUUUGAGAUCGGGCUAUUAUCAGUUGCGAAUUCAAGAUUCGGACAUACCCAAAACUGCCUUCAGAACGAGAUAUGGUCACUACGAGUUCUUAGUGAUGCCGUUUGGGCUCACUAAUGCCCCUGCGAUAUUUAUGGAUUUGAUGAAUCGGAUCUUCAGACCAUAUUUGGAUCGGUUCGUAGUUGUGUUCAUUGAUGACAUCUUGGUCUAUUCGAGAGAUGAGACCGAACAUGCUGAGCACUUGAGACUAGUGUUGCAAAUUUUGCGGGAUAAGUAGUUAUAUGCUAAGUUCAGUAAGUGUGAGUUCUGGUUAAGAGAGGUUAGCUUCUUGGGUCAUGUGGUAUCCGCAUCGGGUAUUCGAGUUGACCCGAGCAAAAUUUUAGCCAUACUUAACUGGAAGCCUCCAAGAAAUAUUACCGAAGUUCGGAGCUUCCUGGGGCUCACCGGUUAUUACCGACGAUUUGUGAAAGGUUUCUCGAUGAUAGCCACACCAAUGACGAAGCUACUUCAAAAGGAUGUUAAGUUCGAAUGGACGGAGAAAUGUCAGAAAAGUUUUGAUCAGCUAAAAACUUAUUUGACUGAAGCUCCAAUUUUAGUGCAACCCGAAUCAGGCAAAGAGUUUGUCAUUUAUAGUGACGCAUCCCUACUUGGGUUGGGUUGCGUAUUGAUGCAAGAAGGUCGAGUGGUGGCCUAUGCGUCGAGACAAUUAAAGCCACAUGAGAAAAAUUAUCCGACCCAUGAUCUUGAACUAGCUGCCAUCGUAUUUGCUUUAAAAAUAUGGCGACAUUACUUAUUUGGUGAAAAGUGCCAUGUAUUUUCGGAUCACAAAAGUCUCAAAUAUUUGAUGACUCAAAGAGACUUAAAUCUGCGACAAAGACGUUGGCUUGAGUUGUUGAAAGAUUAUGAGCUUGUCAUUGAUUACCACCCGGGAAAGGCUAAUGUGGUUGCGGACGCCUUAAGCCGGAAAUCAUUGUUUGCUUUACGAGCGAUGAAUGUGCACUUGUCUGUUCUAGCCGACAAUGUGUUAGUAGCUGAAUUAAAAGCCAGACCAUUAUUGAUUCAUCAAAUUCGUGAAGCUCAGAAAGUUGAUGAUGAAUUGGUUGCAAAACGGGCUGAGUGUGUUCCGAACAAGGAAUCGGAGUUUCAAAUUGAUGAUGGUGAUUGUUUAAGGUUCAGAAGUCGUUUGUGUGUUCCAAGGAAUUCGGAACUCAUUUCGAUGAUUUUGAACGAAGCCCAUUGUAGCCGAAUGUCAAUUCACCCGGGGAGUACGAAAAUGUACAACGAUUUGAAACGUCAAUUUUGGUGGCAUGGUAUGAAACGAGACAUCUCCGACUUUGUUUCGAGAUGUUUAAUAUGUCAACAAGUGAAAGCGGAACAUCAAGUGCUUUCAGGAUUACUUCAGCCGUUCAUGAUACCCGAGUGGAAAUAGGAUCGAGUCACAAUGGACUUUGUGUCCGGACUGCCAUUGUCAGCAAGUAAGAAGGAUGUGAUUUGGGUUGUUGUUGAUAGACUGACUAAGUCGGCUCACUUUAUCCCCGUGCGUACGGAUUUUUCAUUGGAUAAACUAGCUGAAUUGUAUGUUUCUCAAAUUGUGAGAUUACACGGGGUACCUAUUUCUAUCGUGUCGAAUAGAGAUCCGAGAUUCACCUCACGGUUUUGGAAGAAAUUGCAAGAAGCUUUGGGUACCAAGCUGCAUUUUAGCACUGCUUUUCACCCCCAAACCGGUGGUCAAUCCGAGCGGAUAAUUCAGAUACUUGAGGAUAUGUUGAGAUGUUGCAUCCUCGAGUUCAGUAGUUCAUGGGAACGGUAUUUACCUUUGAUUGAAUUCGCUUACAACAAUAGUUUUCAAUCAAGUAUUAAGAUGGCACCUUACGAGGCUUUGUACGGUCGUAAAUGCCGUACACCAUUGUUUUGGACCGAGCUCGGUGAAAGUAAAAUUUUCGGAGUUGAUGUGAUUAAAGAUGCCGAACAGAAAGUAAAGGUAAUCCGUGAAAGUCUGAAGGUAGCCACAGAUCGUCAGAAAUCGUAUGCGGAUUUGAAACGAAAGGACAUUGAAUAUCAGGUGGGAGAUAAAGUGUUCCUUAAAGUUUCGCCUUGGAAAAAGGUACUCAGAUUUGGCCGUAAGGGCAAGUUGAGCCCGAGAUUCAUUGGGCCGUACGAAAUCUCCGAACGAGUUGGUCCGGUUGCGUAUAGAUUGAUUUUGCCCCCUGAACUUGAAAAGAUUCACGAUGUCUUUCAUGUUUCGAUGCUUCGAUGUUAUAGAUCCGAUCCGUCACAUGUGAUUAAUCCCUCAGAAGUUGAAAUUCAAUCUGACUUGAGUUAUGAAGAAGAACCGAUUCGUAUCCUAGCUCGUGAAGUGAAAGAGUUGCGAAACAAAAGGGUUCCGUUAGUUAAGGUGUUAUGGCUCAAACACGGGAUCGAGGAAGCUACUUGGGAAACCGAGAGCUCGAUGAAAGAACGAUACCCAAACCUAUUUACCGGUAAGAUUUUCGGGGACGAAAAUUUCUUAAGUGGGGGAGAGUUGUGACAGCCCAAAAUUGACCCUAGUCGGGAAGUGGUUUCGGGACCGCUAAACCGAGUCACCGAAAUGUUUGAAUGUGAUAUUUAUUGUCUAGAAUAUGUAAUUAUGAAUGUGUGAAAAUUUCAAGCUUCGAUUUAGUCGAUUGCAUGUGAAUUUAGUCAAUAGGACUUAUGUGAGACAUUUUUGAAAUGUGAUAGGUCGAAGCAUAAGGACCUAUUAGAGCAUGAAAUAAAAAGGGGGACUUGCAUGUCAAAUUCCCCCCUAACUAGUAGUGGCCGGCCAUGACAAGCAUGGUAGACCAAGUGUGAUGGGCAAGACAUGUCAUAGACAUGUUGUGUUGGUGCAUCAUGGGUGGAAAAAAAUAAAAUAAGGAGCAUGGGCAUAAAAUAAUGAAAGGGAAUAUGAU
rnacentral:lncRNA from 1 species